UGGAUAACAUGGCAGCACACAACAC
rnacentral:piRNA from 1 species